CGCUCGCAUGAUAUAUUUAUUCAUUCAUCUACCCUUUGAAGGGAAAGUAAAUCGGACUCUUGUAAUGUGAAUACCAUUUAACCAUGGCGUAAGCGCUAUAAACAAUGUAACAGAGGCAUGGUAUAACUGCAAGAUGCAGAGGUGAAAACUAUUGGAUUUCUCAAAUCAUGGAAGGACCAGUAUACAAUGAUCAAUCACCUACGCUAUAUUAACAGUAUAGACUAACUGCACUUGUUAAAGGCCACAAAGGGCCACUACUGCAGCUCAACUUAACAGCAACAAUUUUUCUUUCCAUUAUACACUCUUCAUUAGGAAGUCAUAAAUGGCUUGGCCUCCUUUUACCAGCAUCUGUCCUCAACCUUUUUACAGGAUUUGCCCAACCAACAUUGCCGCCACCACCACCACCACCACCGAUGCUGCUAUUAUUUGCUGGUUGAGGUUGGUUGGCCCACCCUUGUUGAUGGGAAUUCUGCUGAGCCACUCUCAUAUCCUUAGAGACUGAACCUGGAACUGGAUUCGUUAUAUUACGACCCAUGCUAGGGGGAGAA
rnacentral:misc_RNA from 1 species